rnacentral:rRNA from 1 species
AUUGAACGCUGGCGGCAUGCUUUACACAAGCAAGUCGAACGGUAGCAGGUUAAGCUGACGAGUGGCGAACGGGUGAGUAAUGCAUCGGAACGUGCCCGAUCGUGGGGGAUAACGCAGCGAAAGCUGCGCUAAUACCGCAUACGAUCUGAGGAUGAAAACGGGGGACCGUAAGGCCUCGCGCGAUCGGAGCGGCCGAUGUCAGAUUAGGUAGUUGGUGGGGUAAAGGCUCACCAAGCCAACGAUCUGUAGCUGGUCUGAGAGGACGACCAGCCACACUGGGACUGAGACACGGCCCAGACUCCUACGGGAGGCAGCAGUGGGGAAUUUUGGACAAUGGGCGAAAGCCUGAUCCAGCAAUGCCGCGUGCAGGAAGAAGGCCUUCGGGUUGUAAACUGCUUUUGUACGGAGCGAAAAGGCUCUCUCUAAUACAGGGGGCUCAUGACGGUACCGUAAGAAUAAGCACCGGCUAACUACGUGCCAGCCGCCGCAGUAA